AGGAGUUUGAGACCAGCCUCGCCAACAUGGUGAAACCCACUGGGUGUGGUGCUUUUGGGAGGUAGAUUUUCAUUAAUAGUCUAAAUUCUUUCAGAAUAUUAGGAUUUAAAUCCUUUGAAAAUAUUAAAGCAUUUCAUUUUCAUUAUCUCCCCUUUUCAUUAAAUAUCUAGCAUGUUCAUUAAUGUUCACUGCUGUAUAGUAUUUCAUUAAUGAAUACACUACCAUUUAUUUACUCACUUUCUUAUUCAUGGAUAUUUUACCUCUUUCAUAGCCAAAGUAUGUCCUUUUUAGACAUGUCUUCCAUGUACAUAUAUAAGAGUUUCUCCAGGGUAUAUGUGGUCUUAUUUGAAUUUUCCUGAUAGUUGAAGAGAUUGAGCAUCUUCAUGUUUUUCUUUACUUUUUAGUUUAGUUUUCUUUAUUCUAUUUCUCUAUUUUAAAAUUUCUUCUUAUUGAUUUGUUGAUACCAUAUAUUUACAUAUAUCUGGGUGCUAAUUCUGUAUUGAUUAUACAAGCUGGAAAUAUCUUCUCGAGGCCGUGGGUUGUCUUCUCACAGUUUUGUUUUGUUUUUUAACUCU
rnacentral:lncRNA from 10 species